CGGGCCCCCCUUUCGGACCUGCUUUGAUGGAUUCCACUUCCAUCGAAGCAAUUUGCUUCUCCCUUUCGGUGCCGGCGGGCGGCGGCCGCUGCUGCCGAGGUUUGUUUCCGCCUUCCCAGAGGCACUCUUUCCCUGCGGAUGCGGGGUGCUCCCACGGCCCCCCACUGUUCAUCCUCCUAGUCCUAAUUCCUAAACCUGCUGCCGUCGUCCGUGUUACCCGGCUGCGCCAGCACGUCGUCAUCAGGCAGGUGCUCUCAGUUUGUGGUGAAGUGCAUCUUGAUUUUGUUCGUUUUGAACCAUUUCUGUGCGAACGGUGUCGAGUAGAAAGAGCUAGCCUUAGUAUUGGGCACAGGCAUUGAACUAUUUUAGUCAUGGUUUUAUUUUCAUUUUCUCAGGCAGCCUUAGUAUGGCAGGUUCAGUUAUUAGCAUGCUACCAUCCCCUUCCAUUCUUGAUUGUGAUUUUAGAUGUUCCUUUCGUAUCAUACUGUGUAAAGUCCAAUGUUUGACAGCUAGCUUAUUUCAUAAACGUACUGCUUGGUACAGUCUGGAUAGUGAAUAAAAAAUAAUGCAAGACUGAAUAAAAAAUUAGUAGAAGUCUGGAUAGUGAAGAAGAAUGCAUGCCGUUGCAGUUUGCUAUUUUUAUUGUGGUCUAAUAGCUGCUUGUUACAGUCUUAUAGAGUAUUUUAGUAGUUUCCAUUCAGUAAAUAAAACUUGCCCAAAGGAGGUAUUUAGUGAUCUAGCUUACUGGCAACCUCUCCCUCAAAUAAAAUUAUGAGACAAUAUCUCUAUCAAUCCUGGUGCUUACUGUUCAUUUCCAAUAUUAGUUACUUUCAUAGGCCUGUGCACUGGUACAUACUUUCUUCUUCUCCAAGCUUCAUACACGCAGUCCAUCAAUUUUAAUGCAUCAUCUUCUUGCUCAUUAUCUUCCAGUUCAAUGCAUCUGUCAGGACGUGCUCUUCCUUGGUUUACAUUUGAGCUUUAGUACAGCUUUUCAUACUAGAAAAGCUAUUUGUUCCAAACUAUAUAAAUCCAAUGCAGUAUGUAAUUGUUUUGACAGUACUAUGCCCUGGUUAUCCAUUAAUCGGAUUUUGCUUUCCUGAUUUAAAGUAGCACCACCUUCAGCUGGUCCAAAUGCUUGGAACACAUCUUCUUGAUUAUACUUUAACAGAUAUACAAAAAAUUAUUACCUGGCAAUCUACAAGGUCUGUUUACACAUGUUUCUCAGUACGUCAUUGUACAGAAGGAGGAUCAAUCUGACUGAGUUGUGCCUCAUUUUCUCACAUUAUCUAUCCUAUGUCACAAGAGAUUAGCAUAGUAAUAUUACCUGAUGUUUCUCCUCUCCAAUAAUACCCUGCUCUUUAUUACCACAAAUCAGCCUUACACCUAUUGGUAAAUGAGUUUCUACAACAGCCCUUACUAAUAAUUUUGAACUUAACUACAUAUGGCUAUUUCAGUUCCAUGAUAAAAAUAGAUAACUUCGGUAUCCAAAGAAGUUCCUUGAUUUUAACAAGGCAACAUACGUUGAGGUCAUAGGAUAAAAACAGCUAAAUUUUGUUAAAAAAAAUCUGGACCAACUUUUAGGAGGAACUAGGUGGUUUUAUAUUAAGAAAAUAGGCACCCAAGUUCGUCUCAGCGAGGACUUGAACCUGGGUGGUCUAGGCGACUUGGCGUUAGGCGUGCAUCCACACCCUCAACCAUGCUAGGCUCAGUUUCCUAACUGCUAGUUUUUUUUUCAGAAUUUCCUAAUGAUAUUGAUAUUAGCAGCAACCUGAACACAGUAUAACCUUGUGAUUUCAAUCAUGUUUAUUAUUGAAUAAUUUUAACCUGUUAGAGAAGUAUCCCAGUGGAUAUACUGGUGUAAUCUUGCUUUUGGCCUAUAAAAAGUCACGAUAUCUUUUCACAGGCAACAUUGAUUGAAUAUGUUCCUGUUCCUGGUUACAUCUUCUAUGACCAUAACAAAAUAGUAGUAUACCUUGAGCUCCUGCAGCAUCUGCGCACCGUUCUCGACGCACUCCGGGCGCACUGACUUCAUCUGAAGCGCUCCAAGUGCUCGUUCGGGGCCUCGUCGGUGGCAUACCUGGGCCACAUCAUCUCGGCGGGCGGCGACGCCAUGGACGCUGACAAGGUCGCCAUGGUGGCCGAGUGGUCGGUGCCACGGUCGGCUCAUGGCCUGCGGGGCUUCCUCGGCUGGUGUGAUAAAUAUCAUUUAUCUCUUUAGCUUACUUUCUUAACUGUUCUGUGGCAUGCAUUUUUCUUUUUUUCAAUACUAAUGUUCUUAUAUUUAGUAGAAUAAUGGAAGCAGUUUGCAAGGCAUGAUGUGGUUUUGGUCACUGUUACAUCUAGCACCAACACAAUUCACAGUAUCCAGGAUCUGGGUCUCUAAAAUAGUUGAAGUUACAAAUUAUUCACACCUGAGGUGAACAUAUUUCUAUGUGAUUGCUGAUGUAAAGCAGUGCUUCUGGGAAGCUCGAUAAAAAUCUAGGUCUGCUAUACCAUGUCCAAUUUAAUAAGUUCUCUUUGUUGUUCUCUGUCAUACAUAUAUUUCUGAAUAAUUGAAGACUAUGUUACCUACUGUUUACACAUGUCCAAUGUAAUAAGUUCUCUUUGUUGUUCUCUGUCUGCAUGUUUUUCUUGCCAAUGUUUAAUAUUUAGUUAUCAAAACCAUACUACAAUCUUUUUUUGCCAUCACAAACUCCGCUGGAUGGGACUGGAAUAGGAAAAGAACAUAUUCAAUUCACCUGUCAGUUGAUUUUGUCAGAAAUCUGAAUGGAGAAUUGUAUAGACAAUAAAAACUUAUUUGCAUGGAAUAGGAAUAAAUAAAGAAUGCAACAAUUUCCUGAAUCGAAGUAGCGCAGCUAAAUUGUAUUUCUGCUCUGCAUUAAUGUUUGAGUAGUUUAUUUAUAAAACAUGACCUUCAUCAUGCAGUAGCUUUGAUCUACAAGUAUUCCUUUUCAGUACCAUAUCUUUAUUGCGCUAAGUUCCCUAUCAAAAUUGAAUCCAAGACUUUUUCAUAUUGUGACAAAAUCCACAUAGGAAUGUAUUCACUAUUUAGCUCAAUUAAAAAUAUUUUAUCUCAGAGGUUGUGUCCUUCCUUGACUACCUGCCCUUAAACAAACAGAACGAUGACAGGUGCAUGAGGUAGAAGGAUCUCUUGGUUGCCUGCACUUGGUAUCAGGUUAUGAUAUACAUCUCCAUUCAGUUUUUUUAUCCUUUGGCAUUGUUUAUUCAAAGCAUUGCCUUCUUGCAGUGGCGGAGCUAGAACCAACAUAAAGGGGGGGGCAAUUUGCCAAUGAAAACCAUCCGUAAUUAGGUCAUCAAGAAAUUAGUAUCACAGUUCAACAGAUACAAGUGUGUAUUUGUCUGUGAAAACCAUCACACUACCAAAUUAAUAUUAUAUUAUUUAUAUGCAUGCCAAAAUGGUUGGACGCAUAGAAUCAACCAUACCAAAAGAUGCAUGUUUGGCUAAUUGCUGUACGAAGAGCAGGCGAGCAGCAGACAGGCCAGACUUGCUGAGGAACCGGAGAGACAGAGACAGGAGAUUAUGCGUUAUGGCCUUAUGGGGCCAUGGACUUCAGAAAAAUUUGAGAGACAAGGGGGGGGCCAUGGCCCACUAUGGCCCCCAUGUAGCUCCGCCAGUGCCUUCUUGUGAUGUGAUGCAGAAACGGAGACCAGAAAGUUACCAGGACUUGGGUGUGUGAAGUUCCUCUCGAACCAAUGAUCCUGAGAUCAUUUGCUCAUCAUGCUCACUGCAUAAUCUUGAUGUCCAGAAAGACAGCAAAUGACUUUUCUCAAAUUUGCCUUACUAUUCCUGAGGAUUAGCAUAUUUUUUUUGGUACUUUGCUUGGCUGAAACAGAGCAGUAACAUCAUGUUUGUUUAGCUAGACAAUGGUCAUUUACUAAAAGAAUUCGGUGCCAGACAGUAUGGUGUAAGGCUAUCAGCAGAACAUCUAUACGGUUUACUUCCUUGUAGUAUAAAAAGCAGAUUACUG